GAUGAACGCUGGCGGCGUGCCUAAUACAUGCAAGUCGAGCGAACAGAUGAGGAGCUUGCUCCUCUGACGUUAGCGGCGGACGGGUGAGUAACACGUGGAUAACCUACCUAUAAGACUGGGAUAACUUCGGGAAACCGGAGCUAAUACCGGAUAAUAUAUUGAACCGCAUGGUUCAAUAGUGAAAGACGGUUUUGCUGUCACUUAUAGAUGGAUCCGCGCCGCAUUAGCUAGUUGGUAAGGUAACGGCUUACCAAGGCAACGAUGCGUAGCCGACCUGGGAGGGUGAUCGGCCACACUGGAACUGAGACACGGUCCAGACUCCUACGGGAGGCAGCAGUAGGGAAUCUUCCGCAAUGGGCGAAAGCCUGGCGGAGCAACGCCGCGUGAGUGAUGAAGGUCUUCGGAUCGUAAAACUCUGUUAUUAGGGAAGAACAAAUGUGUAAGUAACUAUGCACGUCUUGACGGUACCUAAUCAGAAAGCCACGGCUAACUACGUG
rnacentral:rRNA from 1 species